rnacentral:rRNA from 1 species
GACGAACGCUGGCGGCGUGCCUAAUACAUGCAAGUCGAACGAGAGCAACCGGUGCUUGCACUGGUCAAUCUAGUGGCGAACGGGUGAGUAACACGUGGGUAACCUGCCCAUCAGAGGGGGAUAACAUCCGGAAACGGAUGCUAAAACCGCAUAGGUCUUCGAACCGCAUGGUUUGAAGAGGAAAAGAGGCGCAAGCUUCUGCUGAUGGAUGGACCCGCGGUGCAUUAGCUAGUUGGUGAGGUAACGGCUCACCAAGGCCGUGAUGCAUAGCCGACCUGUGAGGCGGAUCGCCCACAUUGGGACUUGACCACCGCCCAAACUCCUGCGGGAGGCAGCAGUAGGGAAUCUUCCGCAGUGGUCGCAAGUCUGACGGAGCAACGCCGCGUGAGUGAAGGAGGUUUUCGGAUCGUAAAACUCUGUUGUUAGUGAAGAACAAGUGCUAGAGUAACUGUUAGCGCCUUGACGGUAUCUAACCAGAAAGCCACGGCUAACUACGUG